GUGGCAAUGCCACAUCAGCUUCAUUAUUCUUAUGUGGUCGUAGGAUUGGGUUGGGUUGUGUGGCGGUUGACGGGUAAUUAUGGCGUCGAGAAAAGUCGACAAAUAUUCUACAAGAAUGAAACAAAGACGAUGCGCCUUGUCUUGAAAACAAGGAAACAUUGAUUAUUACAUCGUGCAUAUUUGAGGUGUAUGAAUGAAUCAUAAAAAUGGUUGUAAUGAAUAUUGCUUUGUGUAACAAAUUUUCAGGUCAAUUUAGGCACGUCUUCCAGGUU
ensembl:ncRNA T10E10.10 ncRNA